rnacentral:rRNA from 1 species
GGUUAAGCGACUAAGCGUACACGGUGGAUGCCCUGGCAGUCAGAGGCGAUGAAGGACGUGCUAAUCUGCGAUAAGCGCCGGUAAGGUGAUAUGAACCGUUAUAACCGGCGAUUUCCGAAUGGGGAAACCCAGUGUGAUUCGUCACACUAUCAUUAACUGAAUCCAUAGGUUAAUGAGGCGAACCGGGGGAACUGAAACAUCUAAGUACCCCGAGGAAAAGAAAUCAACCGAGAUUCCCCCAGUAGCGGCGAGCGAACGGGGAGGAGCCCAGAGCCUGAAUCAGCAUGUGUGUUAGUGGAAGCGUCUGGAAAGGUGCGCGAUACAGGGUGACAGCCCCGUACACAAAAGCGCAUGUGCUGUGAGCUCGAUGAGUAGGGCGGGACACGUGGUAUCCUGUCUGAAUAUGGGGGGACCAUCCUCCAAGGCUAAAUACUCCUGACUGACCGAUAGUGAACCAGUACCGUGAGGGAAAGGCGAAAAGAACCCCGGCGAGGGGAGUGAAAAAGAACCUGAAACCGUGUACGUACAAGCAGUGGGAGCACAGGUUUACCUGUGUGACUGCGUACCUUUUGUAUAAUGGGUCAGCGACUUAUAUUCUGUAGCAAGGUUAACCGUAUAGGGGAGCCGGAGGGAAACCGAGUCUUAACCGGGCGUUAAGUUGCAGGGUAUAGACCCGAAACCCGGUGAUCUAGCCAUGGGCAGGUUGAAGGUUGGGUAACACUAACUGGAGGACCGAACCGACUAAUGUUGAAAAAUUAGCGGAUGACCUGUGGCU